rnacentral:tRNA from 1 species
AACUAGAAAGCGAAUGUUGCACUUAGUUUCGACCUAGAUUUUGGUCUGUUUUAUGACCUCUAGUUA